rnacentral:lncRNA from 1 species
AAAUAGAUCUACAUUCCUUGACUGUUCGUCAAAUUAAUAUUUGUAAGUCAACACAGUCACAAUCACACACUCAUAUCACAUCAUGUAUAUACGCAUCUACGAAAGUAUAUGUAGGAAUAUAUGAGAAAUCAAUGCAUAAACAGAAAGAUUCAAAGUAUGAGAAAGACAGAUAUGCUACAUUGUAUUCAUGCAUAACGGAGGGAAUAUUACCGGAGAAUUAGAUCCGCCGGAGAAGUUAUAUGCCGGCUAGCGAAGUGCAGCCAGCCGGAAAAAAUGGAGGUGUUUAAGUUGAAAAGAUCUUGUAAGUUUACCCCCUUUCUUUUCUGAAUCCCCUUUUCAACUCUUGUCUCCCUUAAAUAUAGAAUGUAAGAACAUUGUCGUAAAUAAUUGUAUAUUUAAAUGGUAUAUCUUCUUAAAGUAAUAAAGUAAAUUAUAUGGACAACGAUUACAUUUUUCUUUUACUUCCAUGAGUUAACUUCCUAUCAAAAAACACGUACAACUAUUUUUACUUAAGUUUAAAAUAAAUUAACAUAAUUAUUGAUUAGUUUCAUUGUAAAUAUUUUUCAUAUAAAAUUUUAAAUUAAACAAAUAAAUCGAAAAACUCAGUAUUUUUUCCCUUUAUUUUAAUUGUUAUGUUACAAGAUGCUUUUGCUAAUAUCAUGAUUUGAAGUAUGCUUUUUCAUGAUUUUAAGUGUUACUUAGAUCAAAACGGUUCUAAAUAGAACAUGCUCUAAUAAUGUUUCAUUUAAUGCAUUUGCCUUUUUAAGUACAUUAUUUAUUUGGCACUCUUUAGUAUUGACACAUGAUUUUCAUAUUUUAAAAAUGUCAAUUCCAUAUUUUUACAUAUUUAAAGUCUUUGUUAUUACAAUUUAUAUAUAACAUUUGAAAUUCAUGUUACAAUAUCAAUUCACAAACUCAUACAGAUUGCCGUUGGUUAAAUCUUUUAUAGAAAUAUUGAUAUCGAAUUACAGGAAUAUUGAUAUCAAAUCAAAGAAAAAAUAAAAUUUUCAUACAAUCAGUUGGAUUUCAAAAUUUAAUUAUAUAAAUUAUAUUGCAAUAUUAAAAUAGUCAAAACAGUCUAUGAUGUAAUUUAAAAUAAAUUAUGAAGAUGUGUCAUGUAUGGAUAGUGACAGACUUUUUCACAUAAAGAGAGAUUAAUAUAUAUUAUCAUCCUUAAUAAAUGAAGGUUUUUUGUCACAUGUCAAUUUCUAAUGAGUUUUAACACUUAUCAUUUUGUGGUAUUUUUGAAAUAAAUAUUAUCCAUUUGUCAAAUUUUUAUUUAUUUCAAUUUUUAAAAUUAAAGUCAUACUUAUAUAUGUAAAGUAUUAAAUAUCAUAUAUAUGAUAUUAAAUUGCAAUAAAUACAUUUCUUUCUUUUUUAUUUUAUAGUUGUAUAUUAAAAAACAUUUUCUGUUUAUAUUUUAAUUUAAUGUUUAAUCUUUUUUUUAAAUCAACCCGUGUAAUACACGGGUCUCUUAUAAGGUUAAUUGUUUAAAAACAAUAACCAAUUUUCAUAUUUUAUAUUUUUAGGUAACCAGCUUCUUAAAUAUAGAGAUUAAUAAUAUACCUUUUAACAUAUUUAUAUUUUCUAAUUCUAAUUCUGUUUUUAACUUAAUAUUUACAUUGAUUUGCUUCAUAACACUUAUCUGACUUAUUAUAUAUGGUAUCACACAUUAAGUUAUGCAUAUCCAUUGUAUAGCACAUUAUAUUAUAGAAUAUUAUAGAAUCUUUUUUCCCUUUUGAUAACACAAACUAGGAAUAAUUGUAUAUUUCCAAAUAUGACGACAAAUAUACUAGAGGCGCAACUCACGUGCAAGGGCAGCGCGUAAAACCUGGACCAGCUGGAAUCUGCUGUUGACUUUCACAGCUGGCAUUUCCUUCUUCAGACUCCGGUCCAUUCACCGAAUUCUUGCCCUUUUUAGUUUUUAUUCCAACAUGUCACGUUUCUUCUUUGAUUUUAAUUCAGUUUGAUUUAUUGAUAUUUGUCCUUAUUGUUGAGUUGUUAAUUGUUAGGUACAAUUCGUCUUAAGAUGGAAAUCCUCGAGGGGAUUAAUAACUCAUUAAACGUUAAUCUGUUUGGGCCUUGAUAGUAUUAUAACGGCGUCUUGGAUUUGGAUCAACGGGUUCACCUAUAAAGUUAAAACAAGCUAUAACUUUACCAUUUUUUUUAGAUUGAUUACUCGAAAGGCUACAUGUGUUUAUGACUACUAUUUUUAGUACAUUUAUAAUGGAAUUAUAAUAAGUAAAACUACUUUUAUAUAAUUAUGGCACAAAAAUAUGCAUCCAUCAUUUUACUUCUUAUCAUACACUUUUGAGUUUAUUUGAUUUAUUGUUUUAUAGAGAAUGAACACCAAAAUUUUCAAGAUAUCAAUACCACAAAUCAAGAACCAAAUUUUCGAUCAUAUUUACUCCCUUGAAACCAAUGUUAUCGAGUCAUCGUAUAAAAUCAUGCCACAACUACAAACAUCAAUGCUACUUUUCAACCCCACAAAAUAAUGAAGAAAAUACAAAGAUAACAUUGAAUGAAUAUACAAAUCAUGGUUGUCAAAAUUCCGAUCCUGAUACGAUCCUAACUAGGUAAAAAGAUCCUGAUCUUACUAGGAUCGUUUUUCGGUAAGAUCAUGAUAGGAUCAUAUAACUAUUUUUUUUAAAACAAAAAUCUAAUAUUUUUUCAUAGACUAACUACGUAGAAUACAAAUUUUGAAUUGUUUAUCACUAAAUGAUGUAUUGGAUAUGUAUUUUUCAUGUUUUAAACAAUUUAUUGUUAACCGAAUGAUUAACAGAUGGGUGAAAAUGUAUUUUUUAUUUAUUAAAAUACUUUUGGUAGGAUCUUACGACCCAAUUCGAUCUUAUGAUCAAUGAUCUUGCAAAGUGAAAAACGAUCAUAUGUAAGAUCCUGAUCUUGACAACCUUGAUACAAAUCAAAAAGAAACCCAAAUUUACUAUUUUACCCUCUNNNNNNNUAUAUAUAUAUAUAUAUAUAUAUAGCUUUUAACACAUCAAAAGAAGAGCUUCACGGGUUCGACCAAGUAGACUUAGAGCCGUUGCAGCAAUGUGGUGCCCGGUUAGCCCGGCUAGAGCCAGUUGUUCCAUUGGUGAUGCGUGCUCGAUGUAGUUGUCGGGUAACACAAUCGGCCUCCACUGAAAAUAACAACGUACUUUACUUUUU